UGAAGGAGCUUGCUCCUGAUUGAUAAACAUUUGAGUGAGUGGCGGACGGGUGAGUAACACGUGGGUAACCUGCCCUAAAGUGGGGGAUAACAUUUGGAAACAGAUGCUAAUACCGCAUAAAACCUAACACCGCAUGGUGUAGGGUUGAAAGAUGGUUUCGGCUAUCACUUUAGGAUGGACCCGCGGUGCAUUAGUUAGUUGGUGAGGUAAAGGCUCACCAAGACCGUGAUGCAUAGCCGACCUGAGAGGGUAAUCGGCCACACUGGGACUGAGACACGGCCCAGACUCCUACGGGAGGCAGCAGUAGGGAAUCUUCCACAAUGGACGAAAGUCUGAUGGAGCAACGCCGCGUGAGUGAAGAAGGUUUUCGGAUCGUAAAACUCUGUUGUUGGAGAAGAAUGUAUCUGAUAGUAACUGAUCAGGUAGUGACGGUAUCCAACCAGAAAGCCACGGCUAACUACGUGCCAGCAGCCGCGGUAAUACGUAGGUGGCAAGCGUUGUCCGGAUUUAUUGGGCGUAAAGCGAGCGCAGGCGGUUUCUUAAGUCUGAUGUGAAAGCCUUCGGCUCAACCGAAGAAGUGCAUCGGAAACUGGGAAACUUGAGUGCAGAAGAGGACAGUGGAACUCCAUGUGUAGCGGUGAAAUGCGUAGAUAUAUGGAAGAACACCAGUGGCGAAGGCGGCUGUCUGGUCUGUAACUGACGCUGAGGCUCGAAAGCAUGGGUAGCAAACAGGAUUAGAUACCCUGGUAGUCCAUGCCGUAAACGAUGAGUGCUAGGUGUUGGAGGGUUUCCGCCCUUCAGUGCCGCAGCUAACGCAUUAAGCACUCCGCCUGGGGAGUACGACCGCAAGGUUGAACUCAAGGAAUUGACGGGGGCCCGCACAAGCGGUGGAGCAUGUGUU
rnacentral:rRNA from 1 species